CCUACGGGAGGCAGCAGUGGGGAAUUUUGGACAAUGGGCGCAAGCCUGAUCCAGCAAUGCCGCGUGAGUGAAGAAGGCCUUCGGGUUGUAAAGCUCUUUUGUCAGGGAAGAAACGGUGGGAGCUAAUAUCUCCUACUAAUGACGGUACCUGAAGAAUAAGCACCGGCUAACUACGUGCCAGCAGCCGCGGUAAUACGUAGGGUGCAAGCGUUAAUCGGAAUUACUGGGCGUAAAGCGUGCGCAGGCGGUUUUGUAAGUCUGUCGUGAAAGCCCCGGGCUCAACCUGGGAAUUGCGAUGGAGACUGCAAGGCUUGAAUCUGGCAGAGGGGGGUAGAAUUCCACGUGUAGCAGUGAAAUGCGUAGAGAUGUGGAGGAACACCGAUGGCGAAGGCAGCCCCCUGGGUCAAGAUUGACGCUCAUGCACGAAAGCGUGGGGAGCAAACAGGAUUAGAUACCCUGGUAGUCCACGCCCUAAACGAUGUCUACUAGUUGUCGGGUUUUAAUUAACUUGGUAACGCAGCUAACGCGUGAGUAGACCGCCUGGGGGNGGUACGGUCGUCGAGAGUUAAACUUACUAAUUAGUUAGUUAGNGGCGUUGNGAGNGCGACGGACGACGACGAGGGAGGAGG
rnacentral:rRNA from 1 species